rnacentral:lncRNA from 11 species
GUACUCUUUAAAAACUGCUGUUGAGGGUGUUGAGCUCUUGUUAUUUUUCUUCUGCAGAUUGUUGAAAGGGUCAUUUGUUUUUCCUGGUUUCAAACUCUACAUGAGAUAUACCUUGGUUGGCGG